GUCGUCUUAGCUCAGCCGGUAGAGCACACGGCUUUUACCUGUGUGUCAUGGGUUCGAUUCCCACAUACGGCA